UUCUUUUGGCUUUAGAAAUGUGAGACAAUAUAUCAACAGGAAAUGAUAAUUACAUAAACUUGUCAAUGCACUGUUAAUGCAUUUAGAUUUAUAUCCCCUGAAGCAUACGCAGAUCCAUGUAAUCACGAACUGGGCAAGUAUGCAUGUCUCAUGCAAGUCAUUUUUAACUUGUGCGCAGAGGAAUGCACAAACAUUGCUUUGAAAAUGUGAUGUAAUUAUACUUUCCUGUGGAUAUAUAUUGUCUUACAUUCCUACCGCCAAAAGGACCAACCACACUGACAACCGGUAAAGUGCAUUCAAAUAUUAUUUUAUUCAACCUUCUGGCUUUUAGAGGUGGUGAGGGGAAACGUUCCUGAUUCAAACACUAAUUUCUGCCCAAAGUAGAAUUCUCUGCAAUUCAACGUUGUGUUCAGGCAACCUGUUCAGGCACCUGUUUUCUGCACACACACCACCACCAAUAUGCUCAGUACACUGACAAAGUAAGGAACACCACAUUGCAAACGGACAGCAUGCAUGCAGUGUCCAUUAUUUUAUAAAGUAUUGUCCUUUAUUGUAACUACACUAACUUUGUUAUGUCAUAGAUAUGUCAAAGUUCCCAGUGGAGAGGAUCAUAAAUUUCGGCAUCAUUGCUCACAUUGACCAUAGGAAGAGCACCUUGGCUGACAGGCUUCUGGAAACUACAGGUCUCGUGUGCAUUACCAUAUCCAUACUCAUGGAUCACACAGAUACUCAUGCAUUUAGUUGUAUUGUAUGAUAUGGCUCACCUCAUCGCUUGGUUUUGAUAGGUGCCAUAACCACCAGGAAUACCCCCCAUAGCUGCGGCAAAUAGGGGUGCUGCAGCAACCUUGAAAAAUCGACAUAAUAAUAAUUGAAACAAAACAUUUACACAGCGUAAACAAACAUGAACAGUAGUAGGUGUCUGCAUUCUGACGCGAAUGUGCUUGUGGGUCUCUCUCUCUCCAGGGAUGUAUCCUAUUGACCAGUCGGACUACAGCGCCCUCCGCAGUGCUGUGGAGAAACUGCAGUUUGAUGUGCAGGACAGCAGUCUGGGCACCUGGAGCAGUACCAACUAAAUUAUCAUCUAAUCUCUCAUCCACCACUCAAAGCUAUGCAAGUGGUGAAGGGUUGACCUUGACAGGAUACUUGUGUUCUUCAUAAGUUUUUCUUUUUGAGGGACACCAAUUUCAGCCGUGAUCAUGCACUCCUAAAUCGUACUCGCUCUCUCCUCACUUACUUUCUUUCCCUUGGUCUUUCCUUCCUUCCUUCCUUCCUUCCUUCCUUCCUUCCCUUCCGCAGGCUAGGCUUCCUGGGCCUGCUCCACAGAGUUGUUUCACCAGUGCUUGGAGAAGGAGUACAACUCCUCUGUCAAAGUGACAGCCUCCACCAUGCCUACGAGGCUGUCCUGUCCUGCGCCAAGCUCAUUGAGGAGCAUGGGAAACAGAAGAUCUGCAUAGUGAACCCAGUUCUCAGACAGGUCUGUAGUGACAGAGUACCUGGAUCCCAUGGUGAUGGGGACCAUCUUCGCCCCUGACAACUACACUGGGAAAAUCAUGAGUAUCUGCUUGUUGUGAGUAUGAGGAUACAGGGUACCGGGCAGCCAAUGUAAUCAAGAUAGAUAUUCUGCUGAACAGGAAACCUGUGGAGGAACUCACCCCUGUUGUUCACAAAGAGAUUGGGCGUACCGUGCAGGCAAUGCCAUGUCCGAGCACCUGCAUGACGCCAGAACCGGACUAAUGUUUGAGAUCACAGUACAAACAGCCAUCGGCAGCAAAGGGAGACCACAGAGAUGAUAACCAGAAAGAUGACGCGCCUGAAGAACCAGGCAGAGUGUAAAAAAGAAGAUGCGGUAUGUUGGCACGUGCAAGUCCCCAAAAGAUGUCUUCCUCAGUGUUCUGAAGAGGAAAGACAAGUAGAAUAUCAGUAUCCUUAUUUAUUGAAGCAAGUUUUUGUUCAACAAAUAGACUUUAAAACAGCAAAAUAACUUUUAAAAUGUCCUAUACAUAACUUUAACCCCCAAAAAGUUAUAAUGUAGAUCUCAUUUCCAAGAAAAAUAUUUGACGACAUGCACAGAUUACUCCCUCAAACAGACUUUAAGUGCAAGGUGCAAUACAUCAA